rnacentral:piRNA from 1 species
UGCACGGACUCAUUUGAAAAGCGUAAUGAGA